GACGAACGCUGGCGGCGUGCUUAACACAUGCAAGUCGAGCGGUAAGGCCCUUUCGGGGGUACGACGAGCGGCGGAACGGGUGAGUAACACGUGGGUGACCUCGCCCUCAGCUCUGGGAUAAGCCUCGGGAAACCGGGUCUAAUACUGGAUAUGACUCCAUGACGCAUGUUGGUGGGGUAGGAAAGCCUUGUGCGGCUGAGGAUCGGGCCCGCGGCCUAUCAGCUUU
rnacentral:rRNA from 1 species